rnacentral:tRNA from 1 species
GGAGGCUUCGCCUAGUGGCCUAUGGCGCCGCACUGCUAAUGCGGUUGGGGCUCAAACCCCUCCCGGGUUCAAAUCCCGGAGCCUCCG